rnacentral:rRNA from 1 species
CCUACGGGGGGCAGCAGUAGGGAAUAUUGCUCAAUGGGGGAAACCCUGAAGCAGCAACGCCGCGUGGAGGAUGAAGGUUUUCGGAUUGUAAACUCCUUUUGUUAGAGAAGAUAAUGACGGUAUCUAACGAAUAAGCACCGGCUAACUCCGUGCCAGCAGCCGCGGUAAUACGGAGGGUGCAAGCGUUACACGGAAUCACUGGGCGUAAAGGGCGCGUAGGCGGGAUAGCAAGUCAGAUGUGAAAUCCUAUGGCUUAACCGUAAAACUGCAUUUGAAACUGUUAGUCUAGAGUAUGGGAGAGGUAGGUGGAAUUCUUGGUGUAGAGGUAAAAUCCGUAGAGAUCAAGAAGAAUACUCAUUGCGAAGGCGACCUGCUAGAACGUAACUGACGCUGAUGCGCGAAAGCGUGGGGAGCAAACAGGAUUAGAUACCCCAGUAGUC